GACGAACGCUGGCGGCGUGCUUAACACAUGCAAGUCGAACGGUAAGGCCCUUCGGGGUACACGAGUGGCGAACGGGUGAGUAACACGUGGGUGAUCUGCCCUGCACUUCGGGAUAAGCCUGGGAAACUGGGUCUGAUACCGGAUAGGACCACUGCCUGCAUGGGUGGUGGUGGAAAGCUUUUGCGGUGUGGGAUGGGCCGCGGCCUAUCAGCUUGUUGGUGGGGUGAUGGCCUACCAAGGCGACGACGGGUAGCCGGCCUGAGAGGGUGACCGGCCACACUGGGACUGGGAUACGGCCCAGACUCCUACGGGAGGCAGCAGUGGGGAAUAUUGCACAAUGGGCGCAAGCCUGAUGCAGCGACGCCGCGUGAGGGAUGACGGCCUUCGGGUUGUAAACCUCUUUCAGCACCGACGAAGCGCAAGUGACGGUAGGUGCAGAAGAAGGACCGGCCAACUACGUGCCAGCCGCCGCCGUAA
rnacentral:rRNA from 1 species